UGAACGUGCUACUUUCGCUGUUGUAUGUAAAAGCCAGGCAAGUUAAUGGUCAGAUGAAGCAUAUGCUGCCGAAAAGUUUAGGCCACUAGUCUUCCAAAAAAAGACCAAUGGCCGUUGGUCCAGACACUUGUAUGUGACUUAUAGAAGCAGAGGGUCGUUUUUGGAACCCAGUUGCUCCUGUUGUAAAUGGGGAUGUGUAUACUGAUAUCUCACCUGUGAACUCCGUGAUCUUUUGACAGAGGAAGGAGGAGGGAGUUUGUGGCUGCACCGUCUCUCCGACGUGGCUACAAGUCACGGAACAAC